UAACUCGACAGUCCAUCAGCGCGAAACAUUUUGAAAAACCUCAUCAGAAUAUGAAUCCACAAGUGCACGGUUUUUUUUUUUCUUAGAGGAGCAUUGAUAUUGAUAUUAAUUGAGCAGUUAUUUAAUGACGAGUGUGUGAAGAGAGAUUCCAAGUGGUGAAAUUACUUCAACGUGUGCAGUAAUAGCCGUGUUUCGAGUUACUCCGGAACACCCGGGAUUUUUCGUAUUUAGCCACGCCGGUCACGUGAUAUGAGCAAAAUGUUCCACAGGGGUACUUCCGGUUAAUUUUGUUUACACUGGUAACAAAAUUGUUUUUGACAAAAUAUAGAUUUUGCGGCACAAACUGUCGCAAAUCAGAUAAAGGAUAGCAAGGGAUAUAUAUUUACUUGGGAAUAUGUCAAAGUUUACCUUUUCCCAAACCCGGGAAAAGCGUUCACGCAGAGGAAACGAUGGUGUCAUUUGUGUAGAAAACCACGAGCAGCCGAAAUUGAGUGCGAUUAUUACAUUCCGUGAAAGCUGAACCAACAAAGAAACAUCAUUGUUCUAGCCAGUUUGCUUAUAUUAACUUUUAGGAAAACCAAGAGGUUGAAAACAAUGGCUGAUCUGCAUAUAAUGACUGCUAGUUAUUGGCUGGUAUGCAGUGAAAGGGAGCUAAAAAGGAGUAAAAAGUUCAUAUCAGCCAGGUGAGAAUUAAUUUCUUCUUUUUUGUGUGUUAUACAUAUGUAAUUCUUUUCUUUUGCUGCUUCAAAUCUUGUGUAUUUGAAAAUUUUCAGUCUAAUAUUUGGCAAUGUUAUAGGUAGUGUGGUUUAAAUAAACCAGUGUUAAGGAAUAUCCAGUAAUGACAUGACAUCAUGAGAGUUUGGCAUACCGACAUUCAGAUGAUUAAUGAUGAAACUGAAGACCUCAAAUGAAAGGCAUGGAAAAUUAUCCUGUUCCCAUUAACCUGAAAAAGAGGAGGGAUGCCACAAUAUUGAUAAUAGACUUUUGUCAAUUUGAGAAGCAAAGAUGUAAAAAAAAAAAUAAUAAAAUAAAUAAAUAAUGAUGAAAUUAUAAUUCAUGUAUUUGUUAAAAAUACUGUUCACUGUACAUACAUGUAUAUUUUUUUAACUUAUUUGGAAAUACAUGAAGUAAUUCAUAUUAAAACUGAAUGUAUGAGUUUUCAUGAUUUUUAUCAAUAAAGCUUACCAUAUUUAU